AAUGAGCAUGUAAAUCUUCUGCUUCCAACGCUGUUGUCUAAGACCAAGGAUGUGUUCCAGUCCCUAUCUGAUAAUACCUUGGAAAGAGAAAGGUGAUUUCAAUCAUUAGAUUCAGGGAGCGAGAAUCGAACCCCUCCUGGAGCAUCCCCAUCUCUAGGUGGGGUAGCAGUGAUGAGUGAAGGUGAGACUGCAGCCAUUCUGAGGCCCAGAGGCCAUUGAGCUAGAGCUGUACUCUGAAUAUGGCUGUCACUGUCUUCUAGCUGUUUCUGCCUGGCAACUAGCCAAUAUCACCGUUCCUGGUGAUGCUGUCCCACGAUCCAGAUAAUAUGGCUGCCAAGGAUGGAAAGCAGUGAACUCUACCAAAAUUGGAAACCUUCAAGAUUUUAAAUUCUUUACAGACAUGGCAGCACUUCUCUGUCUUUUUUUGCCCUUCGGGUGCAGAGGCAGGAGGAUAUUGUGAGGUCAGUCUGGACUACACACUGAGAUCUUGCUUCUCUUCAUCUUUUUAAAAUUGUACGACAUAAAGAAACAGAUGCCUCGAUGUCAACCGUUCAUUAGAAUGGUAGAGCAGCGUUUGAAGAUAUGGAACUGUCAGCAAAGUUGCUGCUGUACAAGGAGGAGGAACGUCCAACCCCAGAAAAUAAGAAAAAAGUCACGUUCCUCCCUUCUCCCUCCUUUGUGACAUUCGCUGAGGCUUGGAUGGAGUGGGGUUGUGUUGGUGGUGUCCUGCUGAUGAACACUUGCAGCCAUUUAUUCUCAGUACUCUGAACAGCUAUGUCAACUGUUUUUGGAGGUAGCCAUUGUACAGAGUGAAGAGCAGGAGAAGAAUUGGGUAUAGACACUUAAGUAAGAGGACUGGGAUUUCCCUGAGAAUAUCUCGAAACUGUGAUGGUUUGAAGAUCCAGCUUGAGAAAGAUCGAAAAUUACACUCGAAGCCGGUCUUUGGGAUGUCUGUGAAGAAUUACCUCAUGAAGCUAACUGAAGUGAGGAGUCACACCUUAAACUCGGGAAACACCAUCCCAUGAGCUUGGUCCUGAAGUACGUAAAAAGAAGCAAGCAAGCCAAGCAUGGCUGGUCAUCUCUCUAUGCAUGUGACCAGCUGGCCUCCUGUUCCCACCACCGUGCGUGCCGUCCCUGCUAAGAUAGAAUAUAGUCCCUCAAACUGUAAGCCAGAAUAAACCC
rnacentral:lncRNA from 1 species